UACGUAGGGCGCAAGCGUUGUCCGGAAUUAUUGGGCGUAAAGAGCUCGUAGGCGGCUUGUCACGUCGGGUGUGAAAGCCCGGGGCUUAACCCCGGGUCUGCAUUCGAUACGGGCUGGCUAGAGUCCGGUAGGGGACCACGGAAUUCCUGGUGUAGCGGUGAAAUGCGUAGAUAUCUGGAGGAACACCGGUGGCGAAGGCGGCAUCCUGGACCGGUAUUGACGCUGAGGCGCGAAAGCUAGGGGAGCAAACGGG
rnacentral:rRNA from 1 species